AUGAGAAAAUAUGCAAAAGAAUUGAAGGAGAAAGUGAGAAAGAACAUGUUGAGAGAAGAUGAGGGCAAAACAUGCAAUGUGUCUGCUGAUUUUAUUGUGCCUGAAAACUCUUGGCAAGAUGAUUCAGAUGGAGAAGGUACACCAUACAUUGAAAGUGAUGACGAUAUGUCAUAUGAUGAAGGUAGUGAUGAAGAGGUAAAUGAAGUGAGAAGGAGGAAGACAACUCACAGAGUUUAUGAUGACAGUAAAGAGAAAUCAGAGUUUGCUGUAGGCAUGGCAUUUACUGAUAGCAGGAAAUUCAAGCAAGCAUUGGUUAAGUAUGGGAUAGAAAAUUUCCACCAUUUAAGAUUUCCAAAAGAUGAAAAGAAAAGGGUGAGUGCAUAG
rnacentral:rRNA from 1 species